CUAUACAUGACUCUGCGCAUAUCAAUAAGCGGAGGAAAAGCGCAUUAAGAGAUCCAGAUACCUACGCUUAGGAUGUUGACAGCAGUAUAGACUGUCGAUCUCAUCUAUACAUGACUCUGCGCAUAUCAAUAAGCGAGGAAAAGAAACUAACAAGGAUUCCCCUAGUAACGGCGAGUGAAGCGGGAAGAGCUCAAAUUUGAAAUCUUAAAGGGUUUCCCUUGACGAAUUGUAGUUUAAAGAAGUGUUUUCUGUUGAAGGUUUUGGUAAAAGUUCUUUGGAAUAGGUCAUCAUAGAGGGUGAGAAUCCCGUAUUUGACCUUUACUUUUCAGCUUUGUGAUACACUUUCAAAGAGUCGGAUUGUUUGGGAAUGCAGUCCAAAAUGGGUGGUAAAUUUCAUCUAAAGCUAAAUAUUGGCGAGGAGACCGAUAGCGAACAAGUACCGUGAGGGAAAGAUGAAAAGAACUUUGAAAAGAGAGUUAAACAGUACGUGAAAUUGUCAGAAAGGGAAGCGUUUGACACCAGUGUUGUUUUUCUGAAAAUCAAUUAAAGAACUAGUUUAUAGCUAAGUUGUUUAGACUUUAUCAGCUAACUGUUUAGUUUUGAGCUUUUCUUUAAUGCACUUUUCAGUUAACAAGUCAACAUCAAUUUCUUUUGCUGUAAAAAAGCUUGAGGAAGGUGGCUUGAGAUUCGUCUUAAGUGUUUAUAGCCUCUUGCCUAUGCAGUCGGAGAGAUUGAGGUCUGCAGCGUAGAUCCUUCGGGGCUAAAUGCAUUUGUGCUAAGUUAUAGCAUUUUAUAGACAACUUGUUGACUAUGAUUUGUCUUGUAGCUUACUCGCUUAUGUUAUUUUACCUACGCUUAGGAUGUUGACAGCAGUAUAGACUGU
rnacentral:rRNA from 1 species